CCUACGGGUGGCAGCAGUGGGGAAUAUUGGGCAAUGGGCGCAAGCCUGACCCAGCAACGCCGCGUGAAGGAAGAAGGCUUUCGGGUUGUAAACUUCUUUUGUCAGGGAAGAGUAGGACACUGUACCUGACGAAUAAGCCACGGCUAACUAUGCGCCAGCAGCCGCGGUAAUACGGAGGUGGCAAGCGUUGCCCGGAUUUACUGGGUGUAAAGGGCGUGUAGCCGGGUUGACAAGUCAGGUGUGAAACCCUGAGGCUUAACCGCAGAACUGCAUUUGAAACUGUUGAGCUUGAGUGCGGGAGAGGCAGACGGAAUUCCUGGUGUAGCGGUGAAAUGCGUAGAUAUUAGGAGGAACACCAGUGGCGAAGGCGGUCUGCUGGACAGCAACUGACGGUGAGGCACGAAAGCGUGGGGAGCAAACAGGAUUAGAUACCCUGGUAGUC
rnacentral:rRNA from 1 species